rnacentral:rRNA from 1 species
GAUGAACGCUGGCGGCGUGCCUAAUACAUGCAAGUCGAGCGAACGGACGAGAAGCUUGCUUUUCUGGUGUUAGCGGCGGACGGGUGAGUAACACGUGGAUAACCUACCUAUAAGACUGGGAUAACUUCGGGAAACCGGAGCUAAUACCGGAUAAUAUUUUGAACCGCAUGGUUCAAAAGUGAAAGACGGUCUUGCUGUCACUUAUAGAUGGAUCCGCGCUGCAUUAGCUAGUUGGUAAGGUAACGGCUUACCAAGGCAACGAUGCAUAGCCGACCUGAGAGGGUGAUCGGCCACACGGGAACUGAGACACGGUCCAGACUCCUACGGGAGGCAGCAGUAGGGAAUCUUCCGCAAUGGGCGAAAGCCUGACGGAGCAACGCCGCGUGAGUGAUGAAGGUCUUCGGAUCGUAAAACUCUGUUAUUAGGGAAGAACAUAUGUGUAAGUAACUGUGCACAUCUUGACGGUACCUAAUCAGAAAGCCACGGCUAACUACGUG